UUUUUUUUUUUGGUGGUUUUUUUUUUUUUUGUUUUUCUUUUUUUUUUAGGGAAAGACACCUUCAGGCUAUUUGGCAAAAAUCUUCACAUCUCUAAGUCACAGCUCAAACGAUACAGAUUAGAUACUGUUCCAUUACCUAAUUUCCAACAGUAUAGUUUUCAGGGAUGAAAACUAUAAAUAUUUAAUAGUAUUUAUAGAAGUCUGAGUAUUUAGUAUACGUUUGCAAAAGGUCAUUAUGUUCCUCCUUGGAUUUAGAAGAAAGUCUUCAAUUUGACCACAAAAACUCAAGUGUAUUUCAUGAAAACAUUUUCUACUUUCCUCUGAAGUGGAAGUAUGUCUGACUAGUAUGUGAAGUUCUCCACAUAAAACAGAGAACUUCUUACAGAUACUCCCCAUUCCAGGGCAGUUACAUCUACCACUAUUUUCAGGAGCUGUAAAUCAUCUGUUUAAUAGCUAGAACACGAGUCAGAAGAGAUGAAAGUAGUGAGAAAUGCAUGGAGGGGCUUGUUGGAAACUCCGGUCUUUUAAGCCUCUCUCCCAGCCUAAAAUAGAAAUAAAUACUUGCUUAGUUUUGGUGUUAGAAAAGCUGAUUUCUCUUUCAGCAGAGACUCUCAUAGGAUCCCAUUUCAGGGCAUAGUAUUCUGAACUUUACUUUUAAUAAGGUUUAGACUGUCCCACUGUAAUAGGGAGGCAAUCUUGACGUGACCACUUAGGGUUAGCAUUUUGAAAAUCUUCACUACAAAAUUUGCUGUUUUACCAGACUGAUUCAUGGUAUGCUGCCUUUACUAAUUAAAUUAAUAUCUACACUUGCUUACUAAAGAGAUUAACUUCUGCAUUGCCCUCACUAGAUGUGUUAGUUGCUAGGCAGCUCUCACUGGAGAUUUGCCACUAUGUUCUUACCUCUGAGGACAAAGGCUGCUAUGCAUCUUUCACUAGGAGAAUGAAUGCUACACUGCUCUCACUAAGAGCAUUCAUCUCCGUCUUUAUAUCUCAAUUGCUCUCCUUUAAUUAUUUUAAUCACUUGGUGCAUUCUACUGUUGCAAGCCUAUUUAAUCUAGAGCAUAUUUUUACUUGUAUGAUAUGGAAUUGCUUCCAUUUUUUCCUCCCUUGUCAGUUUACAACCUCAGAAUUUAUUCAGUCACACAUGAAGCUCUUGCACCUGGAAGCACACGACUGCUGCUGCAGUAAUAGUUAGUCUGAUAUUUAAGCCCUUCUCAAUACUUUUCCAUCCACUGAACUGUUCACUUCCAAAUAUUUAUUUACUUUGCUCAUUUUAUCCCACACUUGAGUUCGUAUCUAGAAAGCCAUAACUUUUAUUAACAGCCUCACUGUGCCAAAUGCCUAGUCAAUACAAGCAGCACAGUUCCUGUG
rnacentral:lncRNA from 1 species